CCUUUGCUUAGGGAGUGACUUUUGAAGUUCAGUGAUGAUGCCGGAUUUGGAGGAAUUCUAGUGGCAUGUGUUUGGGGAGCAGCAUGGUUGAGAAUCAUAUUGAAUCUACAGAUGCGCUGAGAAGCACAGACUCGCUGACUGUGGCUGGCUGCCUCUGCUCUUGCUGUUCCCUCCGACUUUCCAUUGUUCCCUCGGGUGAGCUACGUGUAAAGCAGGACCCAGCUCAACCACCUCCUCCUCUGGAAAGCCUUGAUCUUCCCCCAGACAGAGGGAUAUGGACUGUCUGGCAGAGUCACCAGGACAAAGGAUUAAAGGAAGAAAAAGGGAUCCAGAUGUUUCCAUUUGGAGUAAUUGAAUUUUCAGACACAUCUAAUUCAGAUGAGCUCUAUCCGUGGACAACCGAGCCAAAGACAUGAAGGGGACUCUUCUAAUUCAACUGGGUUCUUGUGAUACCACUUCCCAUUUAGCACUCUAUCAAUAUUACCCCCUCACAUGUCUGUGAUGACAUGGUAGGAGUCAAGAGGAAGGACACCCUUAAUCAAAAAGCAAAUUAAAAUCUCCAGGCCCCCAGUGGUUUCACAGUAGUAUUUACUGCAUGCCCACUUAGUACAGAGUACUGUUUUAAAUGCUAUGAUGAAAAGAUACAAAAAAGUAAGAAUAAUGGUACUCCAAAAAGUUCUCAAUUUAAUUGAAGAAAACAUGAACACUAUAAAAAACUCCCCUUUAUGGCCUUUUAAAAACCUCAUAUAAAUAGCAAAUGUUUUUAUCUGCACAUUAAAUGUUUCCUUUAAUCUUCCAAGGUUAGGCUCACAUAUAAAUUUUAUUAAUUAAACCAAGAAGAAGGGGCCAAAAUUUGCAUCCUGCUUGGAAAUUUCGAUCUUCAUCUACCAAGUCUUUUAAAUUGUGGGGUAGAUUUUUAGCUUAAGAAAUGAAUAAGAAACUGAAAGCAGCAGCAGACAAGGUAAGCAGGCAAUUUACCGUCCUUUUCACUUUUGGGAGUGAAAAGCGGGAACUUUUAGGAAAUACACAAGUAGAGCAAAGUGGAAAUGUUUUAGGUAAACUAGGAAAUAUGAGUGCUCUUGCAAUAAAGAAAAUGCUGUAUCUCAGGAACUGAUGUGAUUGGAAUGAGCUUUACUUUGGGUCAGAAUGUUGAGGCAAGAAGUGCAGGAGAACUGCAUAAGCUGUCUGGGUGAGCCUUUCCUCAAGCCUGGAAAAUUUGAGGUGACUUCUGUCACCUAUUUCUUCCCCCCUUACCAAUUUGUUGCUUUACAUAAGCACUUGUUUUGUUAUUGAGACCAGGUUUGAGAGUAUGGAGUGAAUACUUAACUCCUGUUAAGGAGUUGGUUGCUGGCUAGUACAAAUAAGCCUUGAGAGUGACUGACAACACUUAGGUGUGCCACCAGGCAUUGUAGAAUAAAUUGCCAAAUAAGUUGUACGGACAAUCAGUUACAAGUUAGACAGACAGAGAUCAUGUUAGGAUGGGUAAGGAAAAGAUGUGGGAUUCAAGUUAGGUCUUCAGGGAUAAUGGAAAAUUGCAGUUUAUAAAGUGAGUGGAAUAUUGUGUUUAUCAUUUUUUUUCUCCAACCAGCAAAUGACAAACUAUUAAAUACAGACACCAACAACAAUAACAACAGUAACGAAAAAUCUGUUAACAAAAAUGGCAAAGUGUUACAAGCUCCACUAUAUAUAAUGGGUCUUAUGAAUCAUUAAGAGAAGAACAAACAUUUCUGUAGAGAAAUGGACUAAAGACAUGAAAGAACAAUUAAUGAAGAGAUAUGAAUGGCCAGUAUACAUUUGAAAAUUUAUUCAUUUAUUAGUAUGAAAAAGUGAAAAGUAAUGUGAUAAAAUGGUGGGAGUAGGUGGAAGGAAUGGUCCUCUUAGGACUGGUGGUAGGAAAGGCUAUGUUUGGAUAAUAUUUUUAGAAAGUCAAUUUAGCCAUAUUAAUCAAUAAGUAUCUUCUAAGCCAAAAAGCUGUUUUGAUAAUGCUACAUAAGUGAAACAAUAGUACCUUGAAGGGGAUUCCAUCUUCCACCUUCCUGGUCAACACUCUUCUCUCUUCCUGAAAUCAGAAAGUGUGAUUUCAGAAGUAUCACUUUUAGAAAUCCAUCCUAAAGAGAUAAUCAGAUAAUUUCACAAAGAUCAAGUACAUGCAAGGGUGUUCAAUAUGGUACCAUAUAUCUUAAUGUGAAAAAUUAGAAUCAAUUAGUAAUACAUCAAUAAGAUACUCAAUAAAUUUGGUACAUUUGUAGGAUAGAAACUGAGAAGGUUGUCACUGAGAAGGUUGUUGUGCAUUGAUAUUCUUUGAUAUAUUUAAAAGAAAAAAAGUUUGAAAAUAGUAUGCUAUAGUCAUCUCUCACUAUCCACAGAAGAUUGGUUCUAGGAGCCCCUGUGUGUAACCAAAAUCUGUAGAUGCCCAAGUUCCUUAUAUAAAAUUGUGUAGUACAAUGAAUUCAGUUGGUUUUCCACAUCCAGUGGUUUUCCAUCCUAGGAUUCAACCAACCAUGGAUGGAAAUUUUGAUACACAGUUGGUUGAAUCUGCAGGAUUCAACCUGUUGAAUCUGCGGGAAAUCGUUGGAAGGCUGACUGUAUGAUAAGACCCUAUUUAUGUGUAGUACAUCCAUCCAUAUAUAUUAGCUAUAUUAUCUGUGUGUAUUAGAUAUAAAUACAUAUACCUAUAUAUAUCUUAGAUACAUUUCUAAAGGGCAAAUAUAGAGGUAGAGUUGGUUAGGUCUGUUUUUUUAAUAAUUUAUAUUAUUUGAAUUUUACUUAGUGAAUAUGUGUUAUCUUUAUAAAUUAUACUGUUAAAAUAAAAAUACUUUGAGAAAAAAAGCAAUGUCCAUAAAAAUAGGUAUAGAAACACCUUUAUAAAGUUGUUCCUCAUAGAGAUUCUCAAUAUAAGUUACUGGUGUUCCUCUAAGCCAUAUUUAGUGCAAAAAAUCUGAAAAGAUAUAUGUCUCUACAUGUCUCUCUUGAUCCAAGGAUAUUUUUAAAAUAAUAUCUAAAUGUGACAUUUAAGCCAUUUCAUCCAAAUAUUGUUUGUCUAACUGAUCUUUUGAAAAAAUAUUGCACUGCAGUGAACUUGGAUUUUAUUUUAUGACAACUCCUUGGAGUGCAUCUGGUCUAUAUAGUUGGUUGCCCUUGAAGUUGUCUUAGCCAUUAAUUCUAAGGACAGGAUUAACAUCCUUUUGUUGAAGCUAAGGAAACUGUUAAUGUUGGAAGAACAUGCUUGCAUAGACGAUCAUCCUACCUCCUCCCUUAAGUAAGGACUCUUGAGUUUUUCUGCAGGAAAGAAUUUGAAUCCUCUUCAGGGUACAGUCAAGAUCCUACUACUGUUUCUUUUAUGUGGUAUCAUCAAAAUAGCUUUGGCUUAGAAUUUUGAGGCAGUUGUAAAAGUAUGGUUAUUUUGGCCAAACUACCAUAAACUCUGUGACAUAUACAUGUAAAAUAAAUGCCUCUCAAUGAACAUGCUAAUUUGGUAUUUGUCCUCCCUUAGAUACUGUAUGACAGGGUGGCUAAAUGACAGAGUGUUGUAUGGUAUAGUUAUUUACAAAGCAGAAGAAAAAUCUUCCCCAAAUAAUAAGUAUAUUUUAGAAUAAUCAAUUUGUCUUAGCCCUAUUUCUGGUGCUAAAUAUCUACAGGAGAAAAUUAUCUCCUAGAUUCAUUCUUAAUUUAAGAUAGAAAUACGUAUAUCUUUUAUGCAUAUCUUUUAUGCAAACAAAAACAAUAUGUUUUUGUUUGCAUAAAAAAGAAGUCUUGUCACAAAUGGCAGUAGAUUUUAGAAAAAUCUCUCUCCCCCUCUCUCUCACACACACAGGAUUCCCAAGCUCCAUCUACUUCAAAUCUAUAGCAUCUCACAUGGUGAAGCCUGAGCACAUGCAUUUUUAAAGCACUGCAGGCAGUUCUGAUGGGCACCCAGAUUGAGAAUAUUCCUCCACUGGGCAAGCCAUCUGGCCCACUUAGUGUCCCUGGCAAAUAAAAUGUGGGCCUUCCACUGCAGGACUUAAAAUAGUAUUGGGUUUGGAACCAAC
ensembl:lncRNA